GAUCAUGGCUCAGGAUGAACGCUGGCGGCGUGCCUAACACAUGCAAGUCGAACGAUGAAACCGCCCCCGGGCGGACAUGAAGUGGCGAACGGGUGAGUAACACGUGACCGACCUGCCCCCCGCCCAGGGACAGCCCCCCGAAAGGGGGAUUAAUACCGUGGUACUCCGGAAGCGGCGCAUGCCGCAUCCGGGAAAGCUCAGGCGGCGGGGGAUGGGGUCGCGGCCCAUCAGGUAGACGGCGGGGCAGAGGCCCACCGUGCCGACG
rnacentral:rRNA from 1 species